rnacentral:rRNA from 1 species
AUUGAACGCUGGCGGCAUGCCUUACACAUGCAAGUCGAACGGCAGCGCGGGGCAACCUGGCGGCGAGUGGCGAACGGGUGAGUAAUGUAUCGGAACAUACCCUAGAGUGGGGGGAUAACGUAGCGAAAGUUACGCUAAUACCGCAUACGCACUAAGGUGGAAAGUGGGGGAUCUUCGGACCUCAUGCUCAUGGAGUGGCCGAUAUCUGAUUAGCUAGUUGGUGAGGUAAAGGCUCACCAAGGCGACGAUCAGUAGCUGGUUUGAGAGAACGACCAGCCACACUGGAACUGAGACACGGUCCAGACUCCUACGGGAGGCAGCAGUGGGGAAUUUUGGACAAUGGGGGCAACCCUGAUCCAGCAAUGCCGCGUGAGUGAAGAAGGCC